rnacentral:rRNA from 1 species
AUUGAACGCUGGCGGCAGGCCUAACACAUGCAAGUCGAACGAGUGGCGGACGGGUGAGUAAUGUCUGGGAAACUGCCUGAUGGAGGGGGAUAACUACUGGAAACGGUAGCUAAUACCGCAUACCAUCGGAUGUGCCCAGAUGGGCUUAGCUAGUAGGUGGGGUAAAGGCUCACCUAGGCGACGAGCCCUAGCUGGUCUGCGAGGAUGAACAGCCACCAGGGCACUUGGACACGGGCCAGACUCCGACGGGAGGCAGCAGUGGGGAAUAUUUCACCAUGGGCGCAAGCCUGAUGCAGCCAUGCCGCGUGUAUGAAGAAGGCCUUCGGGUUGUAAAGUACUUUCAGCGGGGAGGCGGUACCCGCAGAAUAAGCACCGGCUAACUCCGUGCCAGCAGCGGCGGUAAUAC